AAAUUGAAGAGUUUGAUCAUGGCUCAGAUUGAACGCUGGCGGCAGGCCUAACACAUGCAAGUCGAACGGUAACAGGAAACAGCUUGCUGUUUCGCUGACGAGUGGCGGACGGGUGAGUAAUGUCUGGGAAACUGCCUGAUGGAGGGGGAUAACUACUGGAAACGGUAGCUAAUACCGCAUAACGUCGCAAGACCAAAGAGGGGGACCUUCGGGCCUCUUGCCAUCAGAUGUGCCCAGAUGGGAUUAGCUUGUUGGUGGGGUAACGGCUCACCAAGGCGACGAUCCCUAGCUGGUCUGAGAGGAUGACCAGCCACACUGGAACUGAGACACGGUCCAGACUCCUACGGGAGGCAGCAGUGGGGAAUAUUGCACAAUGGGCGCAAGCCUGAUGCAGCCAUGCCGCGUGUAUGAAGAAGGCCUUCGGGUUGUAAAGUACUUUCAGCGGGGAGGAAGGGAGUAAAGUUAAUACCUUUGCUCAUUGACGUUACCCGCAGAAGAAGCACCGGCUAACUCCGUGCCAGCAGCCGCGGUAAUACGGAGGGUGCAAGCGUUAAUCGGAAUUACUGGGCGUAAAGCGCACGCAGGCGGUUUGUUAAGUCAGAUGUGAAAUCCCCGGGCUCAACCUGGGAACUGCAUCUGAUACUGGCAAGCUUGAGUCUCGUAGAGGGGGGUAGAAUUCCAGGUGUAGCGGUGAAAUGCGUAGAGAUCUGGAGGAAUACCGGUGGCGAAGGCGGCCCCCUGGACGAAGACUGACGCUCAGGUGCGAAAGCGUGGGGAGCAAACAGGAUUAGAUACCCUGGUAGUCCACGCCGUAAACGAUGUCGACUUGGAGGUUGUGCCCUUGAGGCGUGGCUUCCGGAGCUAACGCGUUAAGUCGACCGCCUGGGGAGUACGGCCGCAAGGUUAAAACUCAAAUGAAUUGACGGGGGCCCGCACAAGCGGUGGAGCAUGUGGUUUAAUUCGAUGCAACGCGAAGAACCUUACCUGGUCUUGACAUCCACGGAAGUUUUCAGAGAUGAGAAUGUGCCUUCGGGAACCGUGAGACAGGUGCUGCAUGGCUGUCGUCAGCUCGUGUUGUGAAAUGUUGGGUUAAGUCCCGCAACGAGCGCAACCCUUAUCCUUUGUUGCCAGCGGUCCGGCCGGGAACUCAAAGGAGACUGCCAGUGAUAAACUGGAGGAAGGUGGGGAUGACGUCAAGUCAUCAUGGCCCUUACGACCAGGGCUACACACGUGCUACAAUGGCGCAUACAAAGAGAAGCGACCUCGCGAGAGCAAGCGGACCUCAUAAAGUGCGUCGUAGUCCGGAUUGGAGUCUGCAACUCGACUCCAUGAAGUCGGAAUCGCUAGUAAUCGUGGAUCAGAAUGCCACGGUGAAUACGUUCCCGGGCCUUGUACACACCGCCCGUCACACCAUGGGAGUGGGUUGCAAAAGAAGUAGGUAGCUUAACCUUCGGGAGGGCGCUUACCACUUUGUGAUUCAUGACUGGGGUGAAGUCGUAACAAGGUAACCGUAGGGGAACCUGCGGUUGGAUCACCUCCUUA
rnacentral:rRNA from 1 species